AGUUGGUGGAGUGAUUUGUCUGGUUAAUUCCGUUAACGAACGAGACCUCAGCCUACUAGUUAGUCGAACCAAUGUUUCAUUGGUCUCUGCUUCUUAGAGGGACUACCGAUUUUUAAUCGGGGGAAGUAUGAGGCAAUAACAGG
rnacentral:rRNA from 1 species